GGUGGGGUGGCUGAGUGGCCGAAAGCGGCAGUCUUGAAAACUGCUAUACCUCUAAAGGGUAUCGUGAGUUCGAAUCUCACCCCCACCG
rnacentral:tRNA from 1 species